rnacentral:rRNA from 1 species
UACGGGAGGCAGCAGUGGGGAAUAUUGCACAAUGGGCGAAAGCCUGAUGCAGCUAUGCCGCGUGUAUGAAGAAGGCCUUAGGGUUGUAAAGUACUUUCAUCGGGGAGGAAAAAACAAAACUAAUAAUUUUAUUUCUUGACGUUACCCGAAAAAGAAGCACCGGCUAACUCCGUGCCAGCAGCCGCGGUAAUACGGAGGGUGCUAGCGUUAAUCAGAAUUACUGGGCGUAAAGAGCACGUAGGUGGUUUUUUUAAGUCAGAUGUGAAAUCCCUGGGCUUAACCUGGAACUGCAUUUUGAAACUGAAAUACUAGAGUAUCGUAGAGGGAGGUAGAAUUCUAGGUGUAGCGGUGAAAUGCGUAGAUAUCUGGAGGAAUACCUGUGGCGAAAGCGGCCUCCUAAACGAAUACUGACACUGAGGUGCGAAAGCGUUGGGGAGCAAACAGGGAUUAGGAUACC